rnacentral:rRNA from 1 species
UGGGGAAUAUUGCACAAUGGGGGGAACCCUGAUGCAGCCAUGCCGCGUGAAUGAAGAAGGCCUUCGGGUUGUAAAGUUCUUUCGGUGACGAGGAAGGUUGGUAGGUUAAUAGCCUAUCAAAUUGACGUUAAUCACAGAAGAAGCACCGGCUAACUCCGUGCCAGCAGCCGCGGUAAUACGGGGGGCGCGAGCGUUAAUCGGAAUAACUGGGCGUAAAGGGCACGCAGGCGGUGACUUAAGUGAGAUGUGAAAGCCCCGAGCUUAACUCGGGAAUUGCAUUUCAUACUGGGUCGCUAGAGUACUUUAGGGAGGGGUAGAAUUCCACGUGUAGCGGUGAAAUGCGUAGAGAUGUGGAGGAAUACCGAAGGCGAAGGCAGCCCCUUGGGAAUGUACUGACGCUCAUGUGCGAAAGCGUGGGGAGCAAACAGGAUUAGAUACCCUGGUAGUCCACGCCGUAAACGAUGUCGAUUUGGAGGUUGUGCCCUUGAGGCGUGGCUUCCGGAGCUAACGCGUUAAAUCGACCGCCUGGGGAGUACGGCCGCNAGGUU